ACUCGCUUUUUGUAUAUAUAUAUAUAUAUAUAUAUAGAGUUGUGCUGGUAUGCUUAUAGAAGCACGGAGGGCUCCGUGCUUUCACUCUGUUUUCGAUGUUCGGACUUUCGAAUCGACGAUCUGCUCCGUUAGAGUUGAUCUAGAGUAUUUGAAGUACCUAGAAAAUAAAUUUUACAAUUUUUCGAUAUCAUUUGCCUAGUGAUCGAAGGAGCUCAAAAUCAAUAAUUUUAACAGCCGUGGUGAGCCGGUUGCAAGUUAAACGGUGUAGAAAUAUCCAAAUCACAUGAAAUUUUAAUAGAAA
rnacentral:lncRNA from 1 species